rnacentral:tRNA from 1 species
UCCCUGGUGGUCCAGUGGUUAAGACGCUGAGCUUCCAAUGCAGGGGGCUCAGGUUUGAUCCCUGAUCAGGGAA